rnacentral:rRNA from 1 species
AGAGUUUGAUCCUGGCUCAGGAUGAACGCUGGCGGCGUGCUUAACACAUGCAAGUCGAACGAAACACCUUAUUUGAUUAAACUUCGGAACUGAAGAUUUGGUGAUUGAGUGGCGGACGGGUGAGUAACGCGUGGGUAACCUGCCCUGUACAGGGGGACAACAGUUAGAAGGAAUAUGAUUGCUAAUACCGCAUAAGACCACAGCACCGCAUGGUGCAGGGGUAACUCCGGUGGUACAGGAUGGACCCGCGUCUGAUUAGCUGGUUGGGAGGUAACGGCUCACCAAGGCGACGAUCAGUAGCGGGGCUUGAGAGAGUGAACGGCCACAUUGGGACUGAGACACGGCCCAAACUCCUACGGGAGGCAGCAGACACGUGCUGAUUGCACAAUGGGGGAAACCCUGAUGCAGCGACGCCGCGCCCGGCUAACUACGUGCCAGCAGCCGCGGUAAUACGUAGGGGGCAAGCGUUAUCCGGAAUUACUGGGUGUAAAGGGUGCGUAGGUGGUAUGGCAAGUCAGAAGUGAAAACGAGGCCCAGGGCUUAACUCUGGGACUGCUUUUGAAACUGUCAGACAGAGUGCAGGAGUAGAGAGGUAAGCGGAAUUCCUAGUGUAGCGGUGAAAUGCGUAGAUAUUAGGAGGAACAUCAGUGGCGAAGCCGGCUUACUGGACUGAAACUGACACUACGAAAGCGUGGGGAGCAAACAGGAUUAGAUCCUGGUAGUCCACGCCGUAAACGAUGAAUACUAGGUGUCGGGCCGUAGAGGCUUCUGCCGCAGCCAACGCAGUAAGUAUUCCACCUGGGCGUUCGCAAGAAUGAAACUCAAAGAAUUGACGGGGACCCGCACAAGCGGUGGAGCUGUGGUUUAAUUCGAAGAACGCGAAGAACCUUACCUGGUCUUGACAUCCUUCUGACCGGUCCUUAACCGGACCUUUCCUUCGGGACAGGAGAGACAGGUGGUGCAUGGUUGUCGCAGCUCGUGUCGUGAGAUGUUGGGUUAAGUCCCGCAACGAGCGCAACCCCUAUCUUUAGUAGCCAGCAUUUUAGGUGGGCACUCUAGAGAGACUGCCAGGGAUAACCUGGAGGAAGGUGGGGACGACGUCAAAUCAUCAUGCCCCUUAUGACCAGGGCUAC